rnacentral:rRNA from 1 species
GAUGAACGCUGGCGGUGCGCCUAAUACAUGCAAGUCGAGCGAGAUUACGUUUGAAAUUUAUUUCAGAUGUAUGACAGCGGCGAACGAGCGAGUAAUACAUAAGAAGUUGCCCUGCACUCGGGGACAACCUUUCGAAAGGAAGGCUAAUACCCGAUAUUCUCUCACGAGGAAAGCUCCGGCGGUGCAGGAGACGCUUGUGGCCUAUCAGCUAGUUGGUGAAGUAAAAGCUCACCAAGGCUAUGACGGGUAGCUGGUCUGAGAAGAUGAUCAGCCGCGAUGGGACUGAGACACGGCCCAUACUCCUACGGGAGGCAGCAGUAGGGAAUCUUCCGCAAUGGACGAAAGUCUGACGGAGCGACACCGCGUGGAGGAUGACGGCCCUUUGGGUUGUAAACUCCUUUUCUGAGGGAAGAAGAUCUGACGGUACCUCAGGAAUAAGCCCCGGCUAAUUACG